rnacentral:rRNA from 1 species
AGGGUGCGAGCGUUAAUCGGAAUUACUGGGCGUAAAGCGCACGUAGGUGGUUUGUUAAGCUAGCUGUGAAAGGCCCGGGCUCAACCUGGGAAUUGCAGUUGGAACUGGCAGGCUCGAGUGCAGUAGAGGGGUGUGGAAUUUCCUGUGUAGCGGUGAAAUGCGUAGAUAUAGGAAGGAACAUCAGUGGCGAAGGCGACACCCUGGACUGACACUGACGCUGAGGUGCGAAAGCGUGGGGAGCAA